AGUAGGAACUUUUGAAGACGUAAAAAGUGGGGAAUAGUAGAGUUGCAGCUUUGCUGUUUUGUGCCCGUUACAAUGCAUAGUUGGACCCUGAGCAACUGUUUUGUUUUUUCUUCCCUGGUCUACCUGUUCUGAGCAUGUUUAGGAUGAUGGAGAAAAUGAUCUUCUGACAUCCCUUCUACUGUUAAACUUCUAUGAUUUGAAAACUGAGGAUUGAAUAUUGGUUUAUUAAGCACUGGGUCCUAUUGGGACAGCUCAGUCAUUCCUUGAUUUGUUUAAAUUAAGUUUAGGAUAUGGAAAGAUGCUGGAAAGAAUAUGUGAAAAAGGAGGAUAAGAACAAAAGUGAGAAGAGGGGUCUGACCACUGAAAAUCUUUGAUGCCAUACAAAAUGAAUCUCUGUAUUCCAGCUUUCUGAAAAUCUUUAAGUAGAAACAGAGAUCCUGGACAUCCUUUUUAGACUUGUUUUAAUUCGUGAAAUGUCUUCAUGCCUAAUAGCAAGCAGAAGAAAACCUUGCUCUCCUCCACUGAGAAGACAAGUUAAGAGCAAAACGACCUAUAAUUUUCACCAGAAACAUAGAAAAGAGGACACCCAGAGUUCCAGAUCUUUGCCAGCCCAUCACUGUGAAAAAGCAAAGUCAACCCAUAAUCCUAUUACCAUUUCAUUUUUCGAGACCUAUAAAACUUUUUCCUUGCUAUCAAUAAUCACCAACAUUUCUAAAUGCUCCAUUUACUAGAUUCCUAAACUUUUUCUAAGACUAAAGAGUAAAUAACAGUAACAUUUAUAGAACAGAAGUCAUUUAAGUAGUUUUCACAAACCAAUUGACUAAAAUUUUAGCUAGAUUUCUAAGAAAUAUCAUAAAGACACUGUAGCAGAUUGUGUUAUCUUCUGUAAAUAUUUGCAGCCCAUCUCUUGGGAAAGAUUAUACUCCCUCACUUCACUGAUGUCAAUCUUGGUCAUAUAACUUGUGAAGAGUGAGCAGAAGUGGCAUGUGCCACUUGCAAGUAGAAAUUUAAGGGCCAUUGCAGUUUGCCAGUUUCUUUUUACUUCUGUGCUAGACCAGAAUAUUCCAGAUAAGGGCUCCAUCAACCAGGGGUCCAGAGUGAAUACAACAUGGAGCAGCACUGGG